rnacentral:rRNA from 1 species
AUUGAACGCUGGCGGCAGGCCUAACACAUGCAAGUCGAGCGGAUGAAGGGAGCUUGCUCCUGGAUUCAGCGGCGGACGGGUGAGUAAUGCCUAUGAAUUUGCCUUGACGUGGGGGAUAACGUCCGGAUACGGGCGAUAAUACCGCAUCCGUCCUGUGGGAGAAAGUGGGGGAUCUUCGGACCUCACGCUAUCAGAUGAGCCUAGGUCGGAUUAGCUAGUUGGUGGGGUAAAGGCCUACCAAGGCGACUAUCCGUAACUGGUCUGAGAGGAUGAUCAGUCACACGGGAACAGAGACACGGUCCAGACUCCUGCAGGGGGCAGCAGUGGAGAAUAUUAGACGAGGGACGAGAGCCGAAUCCAGCCAAGCCGCGUGUGUGAAGAAGGUCUUCGGAUUGGUGAGCACUUAAAGUUGGGGGGUAGGACAGUAAUUUAAUACCUUACGAUAUUGACAUUACCAACAGAAUAAGCACCGGCUAACUUCGUG